rnacentral:lncRNA from 1 species
CCUUCUUAUGGAGAUGAAACGAACAGCUCUCACUACCUUAGCACCGAGUCGCCUGAGUAGUCUUGCCGGUGAAAAUUUUGAGCUUCUGUGUAGCCUAAAGCUGAAAAUCCCGGUAACCCUCUUUCUGUUUGCUGUCACUCUAAUUCCGCCUUCAUUUUUAUGAAAUAUUGGCUUUUCAUGGACAUCAGGACUGAAACUCACUCUCUUACUUGCCUUACAUGACAUUGUUGAACAGAGAGAUUGUUUCUGAUCAGAGAGAAAUUUUGGAACAAGGAAGAAGAGGCAGUUGGUAAGAGUGUAUGGAGUAUUUAUUGAUGAAUUAUUAAUGUGACAUAAAGAGAAGGGAAGGGGAAAAU